rnacentral:lncRNA from 1 species
GGCAGGGCGUGUGGGAAGAGGCCCCAUGUGAAGUUGGCCAGGGCCAUCAUGUCCUCUCAGCACUUGCUGGGCCAUCACGUCUUCCUCCUUUCCAGAGCGGGGCCAUUUUUUCUGUCCCCUCCCGGUCAGUAUCACCGACCAAACCCAGAGGUGACCUGGAUCGGCAGGGGGACAGGCUUGGGGCAACAGGAGAACAGAGUUUUCUUGGCUAUUCAGCAUUGGCUGUCCAUACACCAUUGCUUUUCUCUGUGCGCUUUGUCAACAGGCCUGCUGCACCCAGGAGACAAGAUCAUCAAAGAAGGAGAAGACGUGAGGAAGAUCAGGCAGCCUGGAGGAUACUACAGCACAGGACAUGCUGACGCCACAUCUCCUCUGAGCAUGUCCAGGUCAAAAAGUGCAUCAGGAAAACAGGCCAAGGAGGCAGAAAACAGGCGUCUUGAGAAGAAUAAGAAUCAAAAGUCAAGCGACAAUAACUUCUGGCCAGGCCAUCUCCUGGACAAGAUGCGCCUGUACUUUCCAGAUAAGGAGCCUGACAGGGCACACGCCUUGUUUAGCUAUGUUCACCCAACCAGGCCUGCCUACCGUGGUAUCUAAAACCCUGGCUACAGGUAGUUCAUCAGAGCCAGGAUACUUGGCCUCUAGAGACACUCCAUUCGAGAAAACUCAUUUCACCUGAAGUUCUUCUCCUAGCGGCAUGAGAUGUGUGCACAGCUUUGUGACUCAUCAGGUCAGCUCAUGGGAUCUGGGCCAACUUCAUGGAGAAUAUCAUCAACUAUCCUGAGUUGCAAGGGGUUUGAUCAUCAAGUCUAACAGCUGGCUUCCCACAGGACUACCUAAAAAUUAAACCAUAUAUCUGACAGUGUUGUCCAAAAGCUUCCUGAACUCUGGCUUGCUUGCUGACAUGACUGGAUCUUGUGGUUAACGCAGGAGGUAUCUCAACACCAUACGGACAUUCGUUCACUCCCCCAUACGCACCCGUGUUGUUUAGCAUACUUGAGUUGCAUCCCUGUGCCCAGUGGUGUGCUCUUGUGACCCCUGGAGAGCUCACAACACUCCCAGUGCACUCUAGCAACUGCUGGAUUUUCCAGGUGGACCUCUAGACUGCUCUUAGAGGUUACUAGGUGUGUGGUGGUUGUACUUGGGUGGGUGGCCAAGCUCCACCACAACUGGUCUCUCACUCCCCCUCCUCAAAGAGAAACAGGGAGAAGCUACGCACAAGCAGGAGCACUGGGAGGGAAGCAGGUACAGAUCUUUCCCUCGUGAAAGAAACAGCCCUGAGAAUGGCAGAAGAGCAGUCAAAUACUCAAAGUACAGAUCUGGCAGCGGAGGAAGAUCAGAACAAGGUAGCAAUAGAUAUUACCGAUCCAAAGGGGAAAGAAGUUGGAGCAGAGAAAGAUACUAUCGAGAUGAACCGAAUGAUGAUCGAGAUGAUCAUUACAAAAGCGGAUGGCCUCACAGUUCAUAUACAAGAAGUAUAUGCUUUCCUCUGAGAAGGCUAAUUCAUCACGAAACAGCUCUCUGCAACUUCUAGUAUUAAACGUUGUUUAUGGGAAGACUUAUUUUUAGUGAAUCAAGAAAUAUAUUCAUGUAAUUC